rnacentral:rRNA from 1 species
AACGUAAGGGGCGAACGUUGCUCGGAAUUACUGGGCGUAAAGGGCCGGUAGGUGGCUUUAUAAGUCAGUUGUCAAAUACCCAUGCUCAACGUGGGAGAGGCGACUGAUACUGUAGAGCUUGAGUAGAGGAGGGGAUGACGGAAUACCCGGUGUAGGGGUGAAAUCUGUUGAUAUCGGGUAGAACACCGAUGGCGAAAGCGGUCAUCUAGCCUCAUACUGACACUCAACGGCGAAAGCCAGGGGAGCGAACGGG